UACGUAGGGACCAAGCGUUGUCCGGAAUCAUUGGGCGUAAAGAGCGUGUAGGCGGCCACUUAAGUCCUGCGUGAAAUCUCGGGGCUCAACCCCGAGCGGUCGUAGGAAACUGGGUGGCUAGAGUGCGGGAGAGGAGAGUGGAAUUCCUGGUGUAGCGGUGAAAUGCGCAGAUAUCAGGAAGAACACCCGUGGCGAAGGCGGCUCUCUGGGACGGUACUGACGCUGAGACGCGAAAGCGUGGGGAGCGAACAGG
rnacentral:rRNA from 1 species